UACAGAGGUCUCAAGCGUUGUUCGGAUUCAUUGGGCGUAAAGGGUGCGUAGGUGGGUUGGUAAGUCAGUGGUGAAAUCUCCGUGCUUAACAUGGAAACUGCCAUUGAUACUACUGAUCUUGAAUUUUCUGGAGGUAAGCGGAAUAUGUCAUGUAGCGGUGAAAUGCUUAGAUAUGACAUAGAACACCAAUUGCGAAGGCAGCUUGCUACAGGGAUAUUGACACUGAGGCACGAAAGCGUGGGGAUCAAACAGG
rnacentral:rRNA from 1 species